rnacentral:rRNA from 1 species
UACGUAGGUGGCGAGCGUUAUCCGGAUUUACUGGGUGUAAAGGGCGUGUAGGCGGGAGAGCAAGUCAGAUGUGAAAUUCCAGGGCUUAACCCUGGCGCUGCAUCUGAAACUGUUCUUCUUGAGGGUCGGAGAGGAAAGUGGAAUUCCCAGUGUAACGGUGAAAUGCGUAGAGAUUGGGAGGAACACCAGUGGCGAAGGCGGCUUUCUGGACGAUAACUGACGCUGAGGCGCGAAAGCGUGGGGAGCAAACAGG